rnacentral:rRNA from 1 species
GGGGAAUCUUGCACAAUGGGGGAAACCCUGAUGCAGCGACGCCGCGUGAGCGAUGAAGCCUUCGGGGUGUAAAGCUCUUUCGACGGGAACGAUAAUGACGGUACCCGGAGAAGAAGCUGCGGCUAACUACGUGCCAGCACGCCGCGGUAAUACGUAGGCAGCAMGCGUUGUUCCGGAAUU